GGGUAUGUAACUCAAUUGGUAGAGUGCCCUCUUUGCAUGUUAAUGGUACGGGGUUCGAUACCCCGCAUUCCCA
rfam:Nelumbo nucifera unplaced genomic scaffold scaffold00043, whole genome shotgun sequence